rnacentral:pre_miRNA from 1 species
AGUGGGAUAGCUGGGUCAAAUGGUGGUUCCAUUCCAAGUUUUCUGAGAACUAUUGAUGCUACUUUCCUGAAUGGUUGCACCAAUUUGCAGUCCCGCCAGCAAU